AGGUUAAGUUAACAAGGGCGCAUGGUGAAUGCCUUGGCACUAGGAGCCGAUGAAGGACGGGACUAACACCGAUAUGCUUCGGGGAGCUGUACGUAAGCUAUGAUCCGGAGAUUUCCGAAUGGGGCAACCCAGCAGUUUUAAUCAACUGUUACCACUAGAUGAAUUCAUAGUCUAGUUGGAGGUAAACGCUGUGAACUGAAACAUCUCAUUAGCAGCAGGAAUAUAAAGAAAUUUCGAUUCCCUAAGUAGCGGCGAGCGAACGGGGAACAGCCCAAACCAAAGUGCUUGCACUUUGGGGUUGUAGGACUGAACAUUUGAGUUACCAAAGAACUUGAUAGUCGAAGGAUUUGGGAAAAUCCGCCAUAGAUGGUGAUAGCCCAGUAGAUUAAAUCAAAUUCUCUCAGUUCAGGAUCCUGAGUACGGCGGAACACGUGAAAUUCCGUCGGAAUCCGGGAGGACCAUCUCCCAAGGCUAAAUACUACCUAGUGACCGAUAGUGAACCAGUACCGUGAGGGAAAGGUGAAAAGCACCCCGGGAGGGGAGUGAAAUAGUUCCUGAAACCAUGUGCCUACAAUAAGUCAGAGCGCGUUAAUGCGUGAUGGCGUGCCUUUUGUAGAAUGAACCGGCGAGUUAUGAUCCCGUGCAAGGUUAAGACUAAAAAGUCGGAGCCGUAGCGAAAGCGAGUCUGAAAUGGGCGUUUUGAGUACGAGGUUAUAGACCCGAAACCAGGUGACCUAUCCAUGUCCAGGUUGAAGGUGCGGUAAAACGCACUGGAGGACCGAACCCGUGUAAGUUGAAAAUUGCUGGGAUGAGGUGUGGAUAGCGGUGAAAUUCCAAACGAACUUGGAGAUAGCUGGUUCUCUCCGAAAUAGCUUUAGGGCUAGCCUCGGAAUUAGGAUCAUGGAGGUAGAGCACUAUUUGGACUAGGGGCCCGUCUUGGGUUACUGAAUUCAGAUAAACUCCGAAUGCCAUUGAUUCAUAUCCGGGAGUCAGACGAUGAGUGAUAAGAUCCACCGUCGAAAGGGGAACAGCCCAGACCAUCAGUUAAGGUCCCUAAAUGUAUGCUAAGUGGAAAAGGAUGUGGAGUUGCAUAGACAACUAGGAUGUUGGCUCAGAAGCAGCCACCAUUUAAAGAGUGCGUAAUAGCUCACUAGUCGAGUGAUCCUGCGCCGAAAAUGUACCGGGGCUAAGCAUACUACCGAAACCAUGGAUGCGACCAUUAGGUCGCGUGAUAGGAGAGCGUUCUAAGGGCGGUGAAGCAAGAUCGUGAGGACUUGUGGAGCGCUUAGAAGUGAGAAUGCCGGUAUGAGUAGCGAAAGAUAGGUGAGAAUCCUAUCCACCGAAUGACUAAGGUUUCCUGGGGAAGGCUCGUCCUCCCAGGGUUAGUCGGGACCUAAGUCGAGGCCGAGAGGCGUAGACGAUGGAUAACAGGUUGAGAUUCCUGUACUAGUUAAGUGCGUUUGAGCAAUGGAGGGACGCAGGAGGCUAAGAUGUGCAUUCUGUUGGAUUAGAAUGUCCAAGCAGUAAGUCUUGUGAAGGUCAAUGCUUUUCACUUUAAGGACAAGCUGUGAUGGGGAGCGAAAUUUAGUAGCGAAGCGUCUGAUGUCACCCUGCCGAGAAAAGCUUCUAGUGAGUACUAACUACCCGUACCGCAAACCGACACAGGUUCGAGGAGAGAAUCCUAAGGUGAGUGAACUCUCUCUAAGGAACUCGGCAAAAUGACCCGUAACUUCGGGAGAAGGGUGCUGAUCGCAAGAUCAGCCGCAGUGAAUAGGCCCAGGCGACUGUUUAUCAAAAACACAGGUCUCUGCAAAAUCGUAAGAUGACGUAUAGGGGCUGACGCCUGCCCGGUGCUGGAAGGUUAAAAGGAUGGGUUAGCUUCGGCGAAGCUCAGAAUUGAAGCCCCAGUAAACGGCGGCCGUAACUAUAACGGUCCUAAGGUAGCGAAAUUCCUUGUCGGGUAAGUUCCGACCCGCACGAAAGGCGUAACGAUCUGGGCACUGUCUCAACGAGAGACUCGGUGAAAUUAUAUUGUCCGUGAAGAUGCGGACUACCCGCGACAGGACGGAAAGACCCCAUGGAGCUUUACUGUAGCUUGAUAUUGAGUGUUUGUACAGCUUGUACAGGAUAGGUAGGAGCCAUAGAAACCGGAACGCUAGUUUCGGUGGAGGCGUUGGUGGGAUACUACCCUCGCUGUAUGACCACUCUAACCCGCACCACUAAUCGUGGUGGGAGACAGUGUCAGGUGGGCAGUUUGACUGGGGCGGUCGCCUCCUAAAAAGUAACGGAGGCGCCCAAAGGUUCCCUCAGAAUGGUUGGAAAUCAUUCGCAGAGUGUAAAGGCACAAGGGAGCUUGACUGCGAGACAGACAGGUCGAGCAGGGACGAAAGUCGGGCUUAGUGAUCCGGUGGUACCGUAUGGAAGGGCCAUCGCUCAACGGAUAAAAGCUACCCUGGGGAUAACAGGCUUAUCUCCCCCAAGAGUCCACAUCGACGGGGAGGUUUGGCACCUCGAUGUCGGCUCAUCGCAUCCUGGGGCUGUAGUCGGUCCCAAGGGUUGGGCUGUUCGCCCAUUAAAGCGGUACGCGAGCUGGGUUCAGAACGUCGUGAGACAGUUCGGUCCCUAUCCGUCGCGGGCGUAGGAAAUUUGAGAGGACCUGUCCUUAGUACGAGAGGACCGGGAUGGACAUACCUCUGGUGUACCAGUUGUGCCGCCAGGCGCAUCGCUGGGUAGCUACGUAUGGAUGUGAUAAACGCUGAAAGCAUCUAAGUGUGAAACACACCUCGAGAUGAGAUUUCCCAUUCCUUUAUGGAAGUAAGACCCCUGAAAGAUGAUCAGGUAGAUAGGUUAGAAGUGGCAGUGCGGUGACGCAUGAAGCGGACUAAUACUAAUCGGUCGAGGACUUAACCAAG
rnacentral:rRNA from 1 species